GACGUACGCUGGCGGCGUGCUUAACACAUGCAAGUCGAACAGUGGCGAACGGGUGAGUAACACGUGAGUAACCUGCCCUCCCCUUUGGGAUAACUCCGAGAAAUCGGGGCUAAUACUGGAUAGUGGGGGAUGGGCUCGCGGCCUAUCAGGUUGUUGGUUAGGUAGUGGGCACCAAGGCGUGACGGGGAGCCGGCCUGAGAGGGCGACCGGCCAAAGUGGGACUGAGAAGCGGCCGGGACCCCGUCGGGAGGCAGCAGUGGGGAAUAAUGAACAAUGGGAGAAAGCCAGAUGCAGCGACGCCGAGGGGGGGGGGACGGCCUUCGGGGUGUAGACAUCUAUCAGCAAGGAAGCGGUGCUUGCAGAAGAAGCGCGGGCGAACGACAUGCCAGCAGCCGCGGUAAUUC
rnacentral:rRNA from 1 species